rnacentral:rRNA from 1 species
UACAGAGGGUGCAAGCGUUAAUCGGAAUUAUUGGGCGUAAAGGGCUUGUAGGCGGUAGAAUAAGUUAGGUGUGAAAACCCUGGGCUCAACCUGGGGCUGGCAUCUAAUACUGUUUUACUAGAGUAUAGGAGAGGAGAAGGGAAUUUCUGGUGUAGCGGUGAAAUGCGUAGAGAUCAGAAGGAACAUCAGUGGCGAAGGCGCUUCUCUGGCCUAAUACUGACGCUGAGGAGCGAAGGCGUGGGGAUCAAAC